rnacentral:tRNA from 1 species
GUCCCCAUAGCUCAGCUGGAUAGAGUGCUCCGCUACGAACGGAGAAGUCGGGGGUUCGAGUCCCUCUAGGGAUA